UCCCCAGUUGUGCGACGAACGUUAAAAUGA
rnacentral:piRNA from 1 species